UACGGAGGGUGCAAGCGUUAUCCGGAUUUACUGGGUUUAAAGGGCGUGUAGGCGGGCUUUUAAGUCAGUGGUGAAAUCUCCGGGCUCAACCUGGAAACUGCCAUUGAUACUAUUAGUCUUGAAUUUUGUUGAGGUAGGCGGAAUAAGUCAUGUAGCGGUGAAAUGCAUAGAUAUGACUUAGAACACCAAUUGCGAAGGCAGCUUGCUAAACAAAUAUUGACGCUGAGGCACGAAAGCGUGGGGAGCAAACAGG
rnacentral:rRNA from 1 species